UACGUAGGGUGCGAGCGUUAAUCGGAAUUACUGGGCGUAAAGGGAGCGUAGGCGGCGUGGUAAGUCAGAUGUGAAAUCCCGGGGCUCAACCCCGGAACUGCAUCCGAUACUGCCAUGCUAGAGGAUUGGAGAGGUAGCUGGAAUUCACGGUGUAGCAGUGAAAUGCGUAGAUAUCGUGAGGAACACUCGUGGCGAAAGCGAGCUACUGGACAAUUCCUGACGCUGAGGCUCGAAGGCUAGGGUAGCGAAAGGG
rnacentral:rRNA from 1 species